rnacentral:rRNA from 1 species
AUGGGUAGGGGAGCGUCCUGCAGCCGGUGAAGCCGCCGAGUGAUCGAGUGGUGGAGGCUGUGGGAGUGAGAAUGCAGGCAUGAGUAGCGAGUCACACGUGAGAAACGUGUGCGCCGGAUGACCAAGGGUUCCUGGGGCAGGCUAAUCCGCCCAGGGUAAGUCGGGACCUAAGGCGAGGCCGACAGGCGUAGUCGAUGGACAACGGGUUGAUA